rnacentral:rRNA from 1 species
CCUACGGGUGGCAGCAGUAGGGAAUUUUGCGCAAUGGGGGAAACCCUGACGCAGCAACGCCGCGUGAUCGAUGAAGUCCUUCGGGGUGUAAAGCUCUGUCAGUGGGGAAGAAAAGUGACGGUACCCACAGAGGAAGCACCGGCUAACUCCGUGCUAGCAGCCGCGGUACUACGGAGGGUCCAGGGGUUGUCCGGAGUACUUGGGGGUAAAGGGUUGGUAGGGGGGACGUUAGGUCUGGUGUUAAAGGCGGAGGCCCAACUGCGGUAGGGCGUUGGAUACUGGCGGGCUUGAAUGCGGUGGAGGUAAAGGGAAUUCCUGGUGUAGCGGUGAAAUGCGUAGAUAUCAGGAGGAACACCGGUGGCGAAAGCGCCUUACUGGACCGUAAUUGACACUGAGGAACGAAAGCCUGGGUAGCAAAUAGGAUUAGAUACCCGUGUAGUC